CAGAUGCUUCAUCGAUGAGAAUAUUAUCAGAAUGUGGGCCCAGUUUCACCUACUUCCCUCCUCUCCCAUGCACGACUCGACUUCCUCUCACUACCAUAGUUGUAAGGGCAUGUUUCAGCUUUAUAGCCCUGUGACGUGUCUGGGUUACUGUAAUAACCCAGACAACAAUAACCCAGAUACUACUUGUCAGUGAGCACUGCACUAAGGUAUGAAGGCGUAACAUGCACAAAAUAGCUACUAGCUUUCCGGAUCCACGUCAAAAUGUCAUUUUGCCUAUCGAUUUAAUAUCCAACAGAAAAACAUAACUGCAGCUGACACCCACGGCAAUCAUGAGCAGCUCCAGGCAGGUACCACCUACAAAAAGGAAAACAACAGCUACAUGUCUGAAACGGAGGAAAAUAAAUGAAGAAAGCUUAAAGUCAUCAGGAACAGCAUUUAUUGGACAGGUUAUAAAGUUUUGGAAAAGUCCCCUGUGGGUGGGAGUUGACAGAAUAGAAGAUUACGUGGAAAAGGUCACAUUCAUGAGGACCGUCUUCUUCCAAAUGCCUUCUUUGAGUCUCAAGCGGUGAAGGACGAAUUACAAACAAAAUUUAAAAUGGCAUUCCACAAUUACAUGUCUCCACCCUGUCAGACUCCAUUUUCCAUUCUUCUGACUUUGGCUGUCAGGAUUUGUGGUCAUGAGGACGAAGAUAAAAUACAAGAAAAUCUUCUAAGUUUCCUGGAAGCAUUGCAAUUGCCCCCCAAAAUAAAAGGCGAGAGUAACUACACAAACUACUACACUCUGGAGGCUACUGUCAUAGCUUUGUGCUACAACGAAACCCCUGGAGCCCUCAGACCAGUGAAGUACUAUGGAGCAUCCCUGUCCUGCAGAGGGGAGAGAGCAAAGAAAAUUAUGAUCAAUCAGUCAUGUCUAAACGUGUGGCAUGACUAUGUGUCUUAUGCAGUGUUGUCAUUCAGACAUGAUGAUCAGGGAAACGGUAUCAGCUUCCCUGGCACCGUAAAAUGCAGAGCAUUCUACAGGAAUCACCAGACCAAUUGUUAUGAAGACCGAAGGCCGUGCAAGAACUGUGGGGAUCUUUUCUCUCUCCCAAACCCUGAGACGGACAAAAAUGACUUUCCCUAUGGAAACUGUGCCGAAACGGAGUGCCUGAGUAACCUUAUUUUCAAAGAUGAGGAUGUCCAGAGCAAAAUGAUUGAGAGAAUCGACUACAUAGGGGAAAACCUGAAAGGUCUUAGAGAAAAGGCAAAAAAAGCUUUGGAACAGUCUAUGGCAACUGUGCCAGAGUCAUAAUGCACAAGUAAAUGGUUUCUGUCAUUCAGAGUUGUGAAUUACAGCUCGGACAAACAAUACAAUUAUUACCACUAAUAACAGACAUAGAAAGCAGCCACCUUGGGAAUACAGUUGUUUUACUUUUUGGUUUGGUCUUUGUGUUUGGUUGUUUACUUUUUAUCUAUUUAUUUUGGGGGAUGUUUAAUUGUAAUAAGCUAUCAACUUUGUCCCUUGUCAAAUAGUCUGCCAUGUGCUUUGUGUCACAGUGGAAAAUGAAUGGAAUUAAAAUGAACACAUUUCUGAUGUGACAGGAAACUGCAGAAAUGGUGUGACACUGAACUUGUUUGAAUGUAUUCAGUGAAACCCCAGCUAAAAGAGUGGACUAAAACAGACAGCACGAUGAAUAUCUAACAUUGUGUUACUUUAUGACACAAACUUAUCUUGUAAAUAUUUUGAAUCCAUCAAUAAAUGAGAAUUGUUAAAAGUU